rnacentral:tRNA from 1 species
AAAAAAUUAGUUAUAUAUAUAAUAUCAAUUUGUCAUAUUGAAGUAAUCAACUAAUGAUAUUUUUUU